AUUUUUGAGAGUUUGAUCCUGGCUCAGGAUUAACGCUAGCGGUAUGCCUAAUACAUGCAAGUCGAGCGGGCAGCAAUGUCAGCGGCAAACGGGUGAGUAAUACAUACCUAAUAUGCCCCUUAGAGAAGAACAACUGAUCGAAAGAUUAGCUAAUACUUCAUAGGCAAUCUCCUCAUAUGAGAGUGAUUGUUAAAGAUGCGUUUGCAUCGCUUUGGGAUUAGGGUGUGGUUUAUCAGAUAGUUGGUGAGGUAAUGGCCCACCAAGUCUAUGACGAAUAGCUAUGCUGAGAGGUAGAAUAGCCACAAUGGGACUGAGACACGGCCCAUACUCCUACGGGAGGCAGCAGUAGGGAAUUUUUCACAAUGGGCGAAAGCCUGAUGGAGCAAUACCGCGU
rnacentral:rRNA from 1 species